UACGUAGGGUGCGAGCGUUAAUCGGAAUUACUGGGCGUAAAGCGUGCGCAGGCGGUUUUGUAAGUCAGGUGUGAAAGCCCCGGGCUUAACCUGGGAAUGGCAUUUGGGACUGCAAGGCUUGAGUGCGGCAGAGGAGACUGGAAUUCCUGGUGUAGCAGUGAAAUGCGUAGAUAUCAGGAGGAAUACCGAUGGCGAAGGCAGGUCUCUGGGCUGACACUGACGCUCAUGCACGAAAGCGUGGGGAGCAAACAGG
rnacentral:rRNA from 1 species